CCUACGGGAGGCAGCAGUGGGGAAUUUUGGACAAUGGGCGCAAGCCUGAUCCAGCAAUGCCGCGUGAGUGAAGAAGGCCUUCGGGUUGUAAAGCUCUUUUGUCAGGGAAGAAACGGUGAGGGCUAAUAUUCCUUGCUAAUGACGGUACCUGAAGAAUAAGCACCGGCUAACUACGUGCCAGCAGCCGCGGUAAUACGUAGGGUGCAAGCGUUAAUCGGAAUUACUGGGCGUAAAGCGUGCGCAGGCGGUUUUGUAAGUCUGUCGUGAAAUCCCCGGGCUCAACCUGGGAAUUGCGAUGGAGACUGCAAGGCUAGAAUCUGGCAGAGGGGGGUAGAAUUCCACGUGUAGCAGUGAAAUGCGUAGAGAUGUGGAGGAACACCGAUGGCGAAGGCAGCCCCCUGGGUCAAGAUUGACGCUCAUGCACGAAAGCGCGGGGAGCAAACAGGAUUAGAUACCCUGGUAGUCCACGCCCUAAACGAUGUCUACUAGUUGUCGGGUUUUAAUUAACUUGGUAACGCAGCUAACGCGUGAAGUAGACCGCCUGGGGAGUACGGUCGCAAGAUUAAAAACUCAAAAGAGUAGUAGACGUCGUAGAGAGUCGACGAGACACGACGGAGGGUUAGGAGG
rnacentral:rRNA from 1 species